rnacentral:rRNA from 1 species
AAAACAUAGCCCUGAGAAGUUAUUCUAGGUGAAGCCUGCCCAAAUGAUAGAUUAAAUGGCCGCGGUACUUUGACCGUGCUAAGGUAGCAUAAUUAAUUGACUUUUAAAUGAAGUCUAGAAUGAAAGGAAAAACGGGGUUGAGCUGUGUCUGUUUUAUUAUUUUGAAUUUACUAAUCUGGUGAAAAGGCCAGAACAUGAUAAAAGACGAGAAGACCCUUAGAGUUUGGUGUAGUUUCGUUGGGGCGACGAGGGAUUAGGUAGAUCAUCCUCAUUAGUGAUACGACGAUUUUUUUAUGGUUAGAUAAACUACCUGAGGGAUAACAGCAUAAUCUAUUAAGGUUUGUGACCUCGAUGUUGGACUAGGAAGCUCCCAGGCUAGCCGCUUGGGUGGGGGAUUCUGUUCGAAUUUUUACUCCUACGUGAUCU